CUACGGGAGGCUGCAGUGAGGAAUAUUGGUCAAUGGGGGAAACCCUGAACCAGCGACGCCGCGUGUGGGAUGACGGGGUUCUGCCCUGUAAACCACUGUUGCGAGGGAAGAAAAGCCUUUUGAAAGGCUGGGACUGUACCUCGUCAGAAAGGAUCGGCUAACUACGUGCCAGCAGCCGCGGUAAUACGUAGGAUCCAAGCGUUGUCCGGAUUUACUGGGUAUAAAGGGUGCGUAGGCGGGCUUGUGCGUCAGAGGUUAAAUCCCACGGCUUAACUGUGGAGCUGCCUUUGAUACGGCAAGUCUUGAGUGUGAGAGAGGAUGGUAGAAUUCCUGGUGUAGCGGUGAAAUGCGUAGAUAUCAGGAGGAAUACCAGUGGCGAAGGCGGCCAUCUGGCUCACUACUGACGCUGAGGCACGAAAGCGUGGGGAGCGAACAGGAUUAGAUACCCCAGUAGUC
rnacentral:rRNA from 1 species